GGCCCGUCCAAAAGCUUCCAGAUUGUCGCGUACCGCGGGAUGAGGCUGAUAAUAAGCGGUUUCCGGUGGCCGAUCACGCUGAACGCGCGUCACGUCCCAGCCGGUUGGAUUCUCCGGAUGGGUCCGGUCGCGGAUUUCCAUCCAGCCCUUUGAUCCCAGCAGCGCCAGACGGCCCAUGAAAGGUGUUGCGAGGACCGCGUUCAGCGUGGCUGUCGUGCGGGUCUCG
rnacentral:misc_RNA from 1 species